GCACUGCCCGGGACUGGGUGUGGGGACGGCUUCCUGGCAGAUGUGAGACUCAGCGGAGCGAGAGGAGAAGGCGUCACACGAUGGGAGCACUGCUGCAACCAAUAGACCAGAGCUGGCACGGGAGAGGAAACCCACUCCCACCGGGAGAGGUUAGGUCGGGGCCAGAUUGCAGAGGACCAGUAGGUCCGGCUCUGGGCUGGAAGUCGCCCCAGAGAGAGAGAUGGCGGCCGACGUCUGAAGGAGACGUUCAGAGAGGCGGGAGCCCGCUGGUGACGGGGACCUGCAGCCUUGUGUGCAGGUGCGCCAGGUGAGAAGAGCAGGAGGCUGGCGAGAUCCGGGGAGCCAGGGGAACGGGGGGAACUGAGGGCUGAGAACUAGACGGGAGGGGGGGCUUGAUCACUUCGGAGGGAGGAGGAAGAAGGGACAGUGGCAGGGAGAGCCUCAGGGGACACA